AGCAGCCGCGGUAAUUCCAGCUCCAAUAGCGUAUAUUAAAGUUGCUGCAGUUAAAAAGCUCGUAGUUGAAUUUCGGGACCAAUAUGUCGGUCGUGCUUUUGUACGUACUGAUAUAAUUGGUUUCUCCCUUCUGAAGAACCUUGAUGUCAUUAAUUUGGUGUCUUGGGGAAUCAGGACUGUUACUUUGAAAAAAUUAGAGUGUUUAAAGCAGGCUCGCGCUUGAAUACAUUAGCAUGGAAUAAUGAAAUAGGACGUUUGAUUCUAUUUUGUUGGUUUCUAGGAUCGACGUAAUGAUUAAUAGGGAUAGUUGGGGGCAUUAGUAUUCAAUUGUCAGAGGUGAAAUUCUUGGAUUUAUUGAAGACUAACUACUGCGAAAGCAUUUGCCAAGGAUGUUUUCAUUAAUCAAGAACGAAAGUUAGGGGAUCGAAGACGAUCAGAUACCGUCGUAGUCUUAACCAUAAACUAUGCCGACUAGGGAUCGGAUGAUGUUAAUUUUUUAAUGACUCA
rnacentral:rRNA from 1 species